GAUAGAGCAUAAUUGAUCAUCAGACGAGCGACCGGGCUACCAUUUGGUCGGUCAAUUCCAACGUGAAGAGAUCUCCAGGGUGAAGCUAACCACGAGGACGAUGGAGGAGAAAGAAGAGAGAAACGGGAGCUGGAGCCCAAUCUCGCAGUUCGAACGACGGCGGCGGUGGUUUUUGACAGCUGAACAGCGACCCGAAUCAUA
rnacentral:misc_RNA from 1 species